rnacentral:rRNA from 1 species
UAACGCGUGGAGAACCUGCCGUAUACUGGGGGAUAACACUUAGAAAUAGGUGCUAAUACCGCAUAAGCGCACAGCUUCGCAUGAAGCAGUGUGAAAAACUCCGGUGGUAUACGAUGGAUCCGCGUCUGAUUAGCUUGUUGGCGGGGUAAAGGCCCACCAAGGCGACGAUCAGUAGCCGGCCUGAGAGGGUGAACGGCCACAUUGGGACUGAGACACGGCCCAAACUCCUACGGGAGGCAGCAGUGGGGAAUAUUGCACAAUGGGGGAAACCCUGAUGCAGCGACGCCGCGUGAGUGAAGAAGUAUUUCGGUACGUAAAGCUCUAUCAGCAGGGAAGAAAAUGACGGUACCUGACUAAGAAGCCCCGGCUAACUACGUGCCAGCAGCCGCGGUAAUACGUAGGGGGCAAGCGUUAUCCGGAUUUACUGGGUGUAAAGGGAGCGUAGACGGCAGCGCAAGUCUGGAGUGAAAUCCCAUGGCUUAACCAUGGAACUGCUUUGGAAACUGUGCAGCUGGAGUGCAGGAGAGGUAAGCGGAAUUCCUAGUGUAGCGGUGAAAUGCGUAGAUAUUAGGAGGAACACCAGUGGCGAAGGCGGCUUACUGGACUGUAACUGACGUUGAGGCUCGAAAGCGUGGGGAGCAAACAGGAUUAGAUACCCUGGUAGUCCACGCUGUAAACGAUGAUUACUAGGUGU